rnacentral:tRNA from 1 species
GGAGAUGUCGCCUAGCUGGUCGAGGGCGCAUGAUUGGAAAUCAUGUAAACGUGAAAGCGUUUCGAGAGUUCGAAUCUCUCCAUCUCCGCCA